GGAAUUCCUGUAGUCCUUCAGGGGGGCUUUGUUCGGAAGAAACUGUUGUAUUUUGGAUGAGGGAUUGAAAUAUAGAGACGAAAAGUAGGGUAAGGAUUUGGGUUCUUUUCUAGGCUCAGGCAGCUCCUCCAGGGCAUCAGCUCUCACCCACAGAAAACUUGGGGCAGGAGAACUUGAGAGAGAGAGUGAGGGCAACUCCUGGUUCAGGGGUCCAGGGGUCUGUCCUGUCCCAGAUCCAUCAUUCAUCAUGGUUGUGACUCUUGGACAGUCACUUAUCUCUCUAAAUUUCCACACCCUCCACCAUAACAUAUGGGUUACAGCCCCCACUUUGCCCUCCCCUUCACCCCCAACAGGGCUGGGUGUCAGACAUGAUAAUAGAUAUUCUCCAUGAGCUGUAAAGCAUUGUUCCCAUGAAAAAGCUGAAGAGUAAGCUUGAAUCCCCCCUUUACUUGGAGCCAUCAAAUCCCUUCCCUGCUUUCAACAGCUACGAAAUGUCCAGCUUAUUCUGCCAUCAUUCAGGAUUGAACACUUAUAGAGCAUUUGUGAAGCACCGGUCCUUUAUUUUUCAAACAUUUUACCUAUAUUUAAUCAUUUUUGGCAUAGCAUGACAUAAUGCUAAAAGUAGGCCAUAUUAACAUUUAUACAUCUCAGAACAGGGAACUGAGCCAAAGAGGGAUCUACAUAUCUUUCCCAAGUACAUGCUUAUUCUAAACGGGAUUUGAAUCCAGUCCAUCAGUCAUGGUCCCAAUGGUUUGCUGAGUUUCUAGACGUUCUCAGUUAAAUAAAGAUAUUUGCCCACAAAACCUGUCUGUUGGGUGUUUUCAUUACACACCAAACUGCAAGAUCUUCCUAAGUCCAACUUUGAUUCAGGAGGCUCUGCUGGGCAGCUGGUGAGAAAAGGGACCAAAGGAUUGAACUGUGAAUAAAUUAUUGCUAAUUUCCCCAUGGUCUUCUGCCAGCAAGAUGUCAAUAGUUGUCUCUAUUGUAAUGCAUUUCCCAGGAUUCUGCUUCCAGAAUGCGAGAAGAAGAAACACUGAUCGGAGGUCAAGAAUAUCAACCCCAGGCUGGGUGAAAAGGAUCCACAUCCGGCCACAUUUUAGGGUGCACCCUAUAAAUGACCCAGCUGAAGAGCCCCCUGAGGACCUAUUGGAGGAACUGCCCUAUGUGAGGGCAGAGGAAGAGGCUUCAUCUCCCUCCAGGGUGGAUGGGACAGCAAAGAAAAACAGUAUGUAUUCAGAGAUCCCCCCUCUGCUGAGGAACAAUCUAGUUGAUGAAGAAGGUGGGACUCUUGCUGGCUUUGCUUGGAGAGACACCCUGAUUCAUGGUCCCUACAGGGAUGAGGGCUGGGGGUGUAGAGCUAGAGACUGAUUUCCCAGUAAAGAGCUAUGCCCAAGUUCUAUGUUCCUGGAAGUAACUGCAUCAUUUAGAUGAUGUGGGUUUGUGUGUAUCAGGGUUGGGGUGGGGUCCAUGUGUGAGCCUAUGUGGUGUGAUUGUGAACCUGCAUGCGUGAGUGUGUGUGUGUUUUCUCAGGAGAUAUUUCCCUCUUACACAGCACAAUUCGCCUGUCAAAAUCUCAUCACCACUGCACACUGUCUGUACAUUACCUUGUUCUUCCCUCAGCACACCUGUUGCCCAGGUUUGGUUAAUAUUCCUUUUCCUCAGAAGGAGAUGGUGCAGAGAUAAAUGUUCUAAGCUGUUGACCUCCUAAGUGGAAAAGCCAAACUGAGAACCCAGGGGUGGGUCCCAAUGUGGAUGCUCUGGACCCCUGACCUGCACUUACCACUCAGCCAAGGGAUCCUCAGUCAUGGAGCAAGGGAGUCCCUGCAUCCGUGUCCAUGACUGGAAGCACUAGCAUCUCCAAAGGUCCAGACCUUGCCCAUCAGGUGGCCUUAGUGGUCACAGAACCCAGGGCAGCUAUGGGUGGACUUAUCAGUUGACUUUGGCACAGUCAUUAGUGUGAAAUUCACCUCAGGACCUGCAUUCUCCUGGUCAGCUCACAGAUUCUGAGAGGUGUGAGACCCCAUGUGUACAGUACAGGUCAUAUCUGUCAGUGCUGGUGUCAUUGCUUAAACAAGGCCAAAAGCAGAUAAGAAUCAGGGAGAUAUUUUAUUGUAUUGGAUAACAUUACCAUAAGCCUUAGAAUUGGUCAUCUCCUGUAGCCCACACCCAAGGACUCAAAGUGCAACCUGAUUGUUAGCCUGUACAAAUCUCCUGCACAGCUGGGUUAGAGACAGGCUGUGCUCAGUCCGUGCUCCCUCUUCAUAAUGAAGUGUCCCACCUAUGGAACAGCCCUCUAGAGUAUGGACAGCCCCUGACUCAGUGGACAUAUGUACAUUGUAUAGAAAACAAAGACUGGGAGAAAAAUAUGAUAUGAUUGAUAGUGGCUGUAUCUAAAUGGUAGGAUUUCAGUUUUGUCAAAUCUUGUGUAUUUGAUUUUCUUUAAGACAAGUGAUUAGUGAAUAAAUAUAGCAUAUUUUGUCUAGGAUUGAAUUCAGUCCUUUAAUAGAGGUUGCUGUUAAUCAACUAUAAAAUAUUAUACACUAGAAGACAUGAUAAAUACAGUAGCUGGAAUUGUGGAUGCUGGGGGAAGAGUGAUCUGGGAAAAAUCAGGAGACAGUGGCAAUUUAGCAGAAGCUCAAAACAGGCAGGAUGGGUCAUGGGUCUCUGUCAUUGAAACAGAGCAUGCAUUUUAGGAUUUACCAUUUUUUAGAUCGACUCUUCCCUUUUGAUUAGGCUCCCCUUAGCUAGAAAGCCAAAGCUCUGUUUUCAUUUCCUUCCUCUUGUCCUUUGCCUUCCUUCAUCCCCCAAAGAGGAUGGCCCAACACCAGCUCAGCCCACACUUACUAACCUCCCACAUCCAUACACACCACCCCACGUCCUCAUCGAGAAGAAAGCCCCUGAGUAACUCCUGAGCAGCAUCACCAGUGUCCUGACACUUACUCUGUGCCCCUCCAGCUCUCCCUGAGGAUGUGGCGGAUGACCUGCACUGUGAUAGGACAGAAGAAGAGGUGCUGUGUAUCCACAAGGUGGUCUUCACAGAACAUGAAAAUGAAUGGAUCCUGGAGAGCAUACGUAGCAGUGAUGCUGAUGACAAUUCAGAAUACUACAUGGCAGAUGACGAAGCUUCUAACAAAGAGAGCAACGAGCUGAUGAUGUCAAGAUAUUCUCUGCUUGUCUUGAGAGAAAUUUUGGGGGAAGUCACUGCUGAUGAAGAGGAAGACCAGGAAGAGGAAGCAUGAACGUGGAGGACUGGGGGUGAAAAGGUUCUGGACUCACGCCUGGAAAGGCCUGGACCUGGAGCCCAGGAGCGUCAUCUGAACCGAGAUCGGGAGCGACGUCACUUCUAGUCUCCUGAGGCCUCUUCAUUUAAUACAAGCUCGGUUGUUUCAUUGCACAGAUUUAGUAUUAGUUUUAGCUACAGUUUUAUCUGUUAUUUAUAUAUAUAUGUUCUCUAUGUUCAAUAUGUAUCUAUAUGUUUGAUAUUUGUAUGUUUUUUUAUUAAAUUAUAUUAUCUAUCUAGUUGCUUUAAAAAUAAUUUUCUAUAAAAUAAAACACGUGUAUAGAAAAGCACCCUCAACAGAGGUAGAACUUAAUGAAUUGUUGUAAGGUAGUCACCCUGGUAUCUACCACCAAGAUCGCGCUCUCUCUCUCACACACAAUCCUUAUUCAGUCUAAGUUGAGUAAGGAACUGAAAAUUUUCUAUUUACCAUCUGUCCUUAUGUCACUUUCUAAGGAUUCUGUUUUCUGAAGUCUGUUCAUUCCAUUGUUCAUGGGAACAAUAUUACCCUAGAUCUUUCAUGACUUGAUGUCAGGACUUUCGAUAUUCAGUCUGCUUGGCUGGUAAAAAUUUCAUGAUUCAUCAUUUCUCUCCUUGCAUAUCUUAAAUAUGUUUCUCUAUUUUCUUCCGACACAGAGAAUUUCUCUCCGAAAAGGCUCUUAAAAUUCUAAUUUUUAUUCCCUUCUAUUUCUCCUGCGCUUUAAUUCUAGCUGCCCAAAGUAUUUUUAUUUUUAAAGCCUAGUAAUUUUUCCACAGUAUCAUUUGCUAUUGGUCAUUGCAAUUGAA